UCAGACGGACAGUAUACAGUACACGGCCCGAUUCCGUGAUGUGGCAAUCAGCCCUCUAGCUGUUGAACGGCAACAUCACGACUGCUGUUAUGAUUUGAAUCAAGCAGAGCACAAAGCUGAGCUCCCGUUCGACACAGACACCAUCAUCAAUAACUGGUUAACUGGUUGGGGCUUAUUGGCGGGACAGAUGUACGAGACUGCACAUGGCAUUGAAGAGGGCGACUGACAACUCCCUGGCUUAAAACCUCAACUGGAUGGAAAAUACUUUAUUUGCCACCCUCCAACUCAGAGAGGUAGUGAAUGAUGCAGUUCGGAGAAGGUCCCUUACAGUGGACAAUGAAGAGGUGGCUCGAUCGAGAGGGUGGGUGCAAGAGACAACUUUAGCAAAAGAAAAGCAGUUAGUGUUAGCGCCUGUGUUUGUGUCUACAAAGGAGAAUGUUUUGUUCUGUAAAAAGAG